GUUAGACAAGUAGUUGGCACCUUUAGUGUCAUUAUUACUAAUAGUGUAUUUAUUUGGAACAGCCUAUGACUGGAAAACAUCAUAAAGGCUGACAGGUUUAAAAAAGACCUACAGGUAUGGCCUUGUGCUUGGGAAAUACCAUGGAGGAAGCAAAUCCAGCCUAGGGAAUUCAAAGAGCCAGCCUCUUUGCCAGUGAGUGGGCUAGCAGGAUCCUUUUAAAGCCCAUUCAGGCUAAUGACUCCCAGCCAACUCAGUUAAGUACAUUUGUGAAUUCAUGCAUCCUACCACUUGAGCAGGUGUGUCUGACCCUGAACUUGGGAAUCACCCCCUUGGAUUUUGAGACAAGACCUCAUGCAACCCGCCGCAGGCUAACCUGACUCUUAGUAGCUGAACUCGAUGUUGAACUGCAGCUCCUUCAGCAGGGUGCUAGGAUCACAGGUGUUCACCUCUACCGCUAUUCACUCUUAACCACAAAGCACCGACUUUAGGAGCACUGGCCAUAAGACUGUGAGUGAAAGCAGCUUUCACAUCUGAGGGUGAAGAGGUGCCAUUCCAUUAACUUGCUAGAAUGGAGCUGCCUCUACGUCCUGGUUAGAAGUAGACCUUGAUAACCUGAAAUCUCAAGAUCUCGAUGACCGACCUCAUCAGCAGGAACUUGGCGGCCGUCAUGAGCUCGGGGAAGCUCUCGAGGCGCACAACGAUGCGGGACGUGUAAGCGAAGUCCAGGAUGUCUCCGAACACU